CCCCACUUCAGAUACUAAAUUCAUAUAUGAAGGAAUAAGUGAGAACAUGCUCAUUAAAAAGAAAGAAAGAGAAACUCUUGUCAUCUCUCCUUCAAAAUCACAGGAGUUGUUUGGGGAACAACAAGGCAGCAACAGUGCAGCGCUCAGGAAAACCAGGAGACUGUCUAAGAUCAGAGUCUAUGAAAUGGCUGCUGGUAAGAAUCACACCGCGUGGCUGACUGGCAGCUGCAUUCCCAGGGACUUGCAGGCUUGGGCAAUUGUGGAAAGAGAAAGUUUCCAUGGAGAACUAUGCAAAGUGCCUAGAAGGAAUCAUCAGGGCAGGUAGGAAGAUAUGGAGAAAUUCUGCAUCGAGGAGAUGGCUCAGUAAGAAGAGAGGUGCACAAGCAAAUCCCAGGGGCGAUCCUGUUGUGUCUAGAAAGAAGAGACAAGAAAAACCUUUUCUUCCAGAUUCUUUUUUUUUUUCCAGCCAAAGCCACAAGGCCUCUGGCACAUACACACUCAGCUGAUAUUUUUUUAUGUGUCCUACUGUUUCCUCUGAAUUCUUCUGAGCUGCCGUAGAGAAACACUACAUCAACACAAUUUAUUUGAUUACAAUGCCAUGUCAUCUCAUAUAUCUCGUGUUCACAUUAACUUGACAUGGCACUGCGUUUGUGUAUGAGCAUAUAUGGAUGCACAUUAACACAAUCACUGCAGAAUAGCAUUUGUUCAGGGCCCACUACCCUAGUAGAUGCUACACACAGAGCUGAGAAGGCACACAGAACAGUUUAAUAAGAGAGGGGGGAAAAAAGAUACUUUCUAUUUAAUUCAACUUGCAGAAAAACAAAACAAAACGAAAAGCUACUUGAUAUUUCCUCUCCAUGCCUGCUGUAUGGUGGCAAGAAAGACCUCUAAAGCACAUAAAGCUCUUAUCUUUGUUCAUUCCCCAAAGAAUAAUAGACCAGUCAGAGCUCUGAUGCUGUUUUAAUAAUGCACAAUUUACAAUUCAUUGGUUACCAAGCACUCACAGUAUAAUUAAUUUUACAGACCUGUUCAGCAAAUCCACAUGGUUUUGUACGAUCUGGGGGGAGGGGUAAGGGAGGGGAGGGCAAAGGGGGAAAGGCAUCUUCUCUCUCUUUUUUUUAUAUCAAAAUAGCCAAGCCCUGUGCCAGCUGGGCAGAGUGACAGGCAGCUGUUAUGACUGUAGGAGGGACAGGGUUUGAUGUACAGUCUCCCCACCAAAAAGUUUUGAACCAGCAAAAACUGCCAUCCUUAUGGGUACUGUGUUCAGUCCCCUGGGAACAUCUCACUAAGGAAGCAAGGUGACUAAGCCACAGAGCUAUGUCAAGAAUCACUUUCAGGAAAAAAAAAAAAAAUGAUCUCCGUCUCCUACUUCUAUACUCUUGUAAACACAAUUCAGGCUGCAUGUGAUCACUCCUUCCCUCUCAAAAGUCUGUAGCAAGAGCACGGGUACCAAAUGACGUAAGGGUUGGGGUAGCAGAGACAGAGAUUCCCUGCCUGCUUUCACGAUCCUUCAGAGAGCCAUCAUUUAUGUAAAGGGGUUUCUGGAACUUCACAGAAAAUUCUCAAAACUGAAUAAAAUUCAUUUGCAAUAUGUCUGAGUAUAUAUU
rnacentral:lncRNA from 12 species